GAUGAACGCUAGCGGCAGGCCUAAUACAUGCAAGUCGAACGGUAAGUUGAAUAGCAAUAUUUGACCUAGAGUGACGUACGGGUGCGUAACACGUAUGCAACCUACCUCGUACAGGAGGAUAGCUCGGGGAAACUCGAAUUAACCCUCCAUAAGAUCGUGAAGUGGCAUCACUUAGCGAUAAAAACUCCGGAGGUACAAGAUGGGCAUGCGUCUGAUUAGUUAGUUGGCGGGGUAACGGCCCACCAAGACGAAGAUCAGUAGGGGAACUGAGAGGUUGAUCCCCCACACUGGCACUGAGAUACGGGCCAGACUCCUACGGGAGGCAGCAGUAGGGAAUAUUGGUCAAUGGAUGCAAGUCUGAACCAGCCAUGCCGCGUGCAGGAGGAAGGCCUUCUGGGUUGUAAACUGCUUUUGCCAGGGGAUAAAAAGACCUUGCGAGGUUAAUUGAAGGUACCUGGUGAAUAAGCCACGGCUAACUACGUGCCAGCCGCCGCUGUAACAC
rnacentral:rRNA from 1 species